GUUUGAAAGGAAUAGGGCAUAGGGGGCACUGUUAUCCCUAAAGUUGUAUUAAUUCAAAAUACUUAGAUUCAAUAAACAUAAAAACCAACUUUUUUGCUUAGUUAUCCAUUUUGUUUAGUUUAUUGUACGAUUUGCAUGAUAUUUUUGAUUCUACUGGAAUGUUUAAAUUGAAUGUACUUAACAAAGCUUAUUUUAGUCUAUUGGUAAAGGAGUGAUGUGCAAGGGGAAAUGUGAUUGGCUCUUUGUCUUUGGACUGACGUCACUGGUGAAUACAGCGUGAGCGCGCAUUUUCUAAUGGCUGCUGAUCACUAUUGCAGAAAGAUCAAAGCAAGGCCAACCAGGAUGAGAUGAAAAUGUGUAUCAAGAGUUCAACCAGAUAGUGUGUAUAUUAAGCAAGAAUUAUAUUGGUCUCUUGAUCAUCACUGCCCACAGCUGAUUCAGAUCUUCAGGUCAAAGAGAGGAUUCACUGGACAGAUUUGGCUCUGCAACCCCUGUCCUUCCACCUCCACCCAUUCUCUGGGAAUCAUCUUGGAGGGAAAUGUUGUAAUGGACAAUAUAGACAAUAUACCCCAGGCCAAGUGUCUUUUUGGAUCAACCUAUGCACUGCACCUAGG